GGGGUCUUGGUGAAAUAGGAUCACGUCGGCCUUGCAAGCCGGAAUUACGGGUGCGACUCCCGUAGACUCCA
rnacentral:tRNA from 1 species